rnacentral:rRNA from 1 species
AGCAGUCGCCGCGGUAAUACGUAGGUGGCAAGCGUUGUCCGGAAUUAUUGGGCGUAAAGGGCUCGCAGGCGGUUUCUUAAGUCUGAUGUGAAAGCCCCCGGCUCAACCGGGGAGGGUCAUUGGAAACUGGGAAACUUGAGUGCAGAAGAGGAGAGUGGAAUUCCACGUGUAGCGGUGAAAUGCGUGGAGAUGUGGAGGAACACCAGUGGCGAAGGCGACUCUCUGGUCUGUAACUGACGCUGAGGAGCGAAAGCGUGGGGAGCGAACAGGAUUAGAUACCCCCGUAGUCCCUGUCUCUUAUAC